rnacentral:tRNA from 1 species
GCCGUGGUGGCGCAAUGGUUAAGCGCUCAACUGCAGAUCAAAGGGUCCGUGGUUCAAACCCACACUGCAGCA